GUCGGACGUCUCCUAGACCGUCACCGUGGCGUGUUUGUGAGGAAAUGAAAGUGAAAGUGGGAGUUAGCGCUCACUCCGCGCCAUGCCUUCCCAACUGGCUUGUAGCGAGUCUAAGGUGCACAAGGAGAUUCUACAGCUGUUAUCUCAACACCCUUCUGGACUGAAGGUAUCUGACUUCACUGCAGCCUAUCGGAAAAAGUACUGUAAAGAUCUAGUCCUCUCCAGACAUGGAUUCAAUAAGCUGACAGGUCUUUUCAACGCCAUGAAGGAUUUUGUGGAUAUUCUGGAGUUAAAUGGAGAUCAAUUUGUCAAGAUUAAGUCGAAGCACAUUCUCCAAGACCAGGUCUCAGCAUCCUGUCACUAUGAGGACCCACGGCAUUCACGAGAAGACUCCCCGGUUACCGCUCUGUCUUGCCAGCACAGCUCACUCUUGUCUAAGGUGCACGAGGAGAUUCUACAGCUGUUGUCUCAACAUCCUUCUGGACUGAAGACCAGGUCUCAGUAUCCUGUCACUAUGAGGGCCCACGGCAUUCACGAGAAGACUCCCCAGUCACCCCUCUGUCUUGCCAGCACGGCACACUCUUGAUGUCAGAGGAAAACCACAAUAGUGCCACCAGAAAGUCCUUCAGGCAUGAUCAAGAUCAAAGUCAGCAACGAUCAGGAAGUCCAGUGCCUGUACAGACAGACCCUAUGAAAGAGCUGAAGGCUUCCCUUCAGGCGCUCAUGAAAAAACAUCCGCAAGGUGUACCACUGACAGCUGUUCGAAGAUCCUGCCCCACCCUUUAUCACCCUGCACUACUGAAUAAUUAUGCAUCUGUGAAGCAUCUCCUGGCCUCUCUUACUGAUGUGGUACAACUGCAGGGUAUUGGUGUUCAGACCCUUGUUCAUCCAGCAGCUGUUAGGACAAAAUCACAUUGAUGCAUAUUCUACAUGCACUAUGCUUAUUUUUUUCCUCAGACUCUUACAAUAAUUAUAGCUUUCAACAUUUAACCAAAUAGUAAUUACAAUGGAAAUUAUAAUGCAACAUAGAACAGUGAAGAUAAUUUGGAGGCUUAUCAUAGACAAGCUGUGUGAUAAUUUUUCAGUUCAUUCUAGCACAGUAUAAUACUUGGCAAAAUAAAAUGAAAGGAAGGUACA
rnacentral:lncRNA from 1 species